rnacentral:pre_miRNA from 1 species
AAAAAGACAAACCCUGAUUUCCGUGUCUAACAUUUGACUGUCCGUCUUAUUUGAAAAAAUUAUGAAAAAAAUUAAAAAGACAAGUCACGCAUAAAAUAUUAAUCAUGUUUUAUCAUCUAACAACAAUGAAAAUACAAAUUAUAAAAAAAUUUCAUAUAAGACGGACAGUCAAAGUUGGACACGGAAACCCAGGGUUUGUCUUUUU